AAACAUAAGCAGAGUGAAACGCAUGUCAUUAAGCGAUAUCGCGCGAGACAAUAGACCUGUGCAGGAGUUCAUCAAAUUCACUCACCUGAUGGAUUUUGACAUUUGAGCGGGUCGUCUUCUCGAACAAAAGUUCAUUUUGCGUUCAUUAUGCGACCCGCUCAAACGUCAUAAUUUCUUGGGGGAGUUCAUUUUGCGUUAGUCUAUGGUACGCUUCCCAACAUCGUUGUUGUCCAAGUUUUUGCCUCUUGCUGUGAUGGGAUCAUUGAACGCUCAAUGCGGUUCAUUCGCAUCGGUUGCAGUAUAUCCGGAUGAUUCGGUGGUGACAAAAAUAAAAAUAUAUUAUGCUACCAAAUAUUUAUAACUGAAAACAAUCGCAAGAAUGUACCGCGACCACUGUUGUCUUCAAGCGCAGCGAGUUCGUGAAAUUAUUUCCAUAAUCCACAGCCGGAGGUAUACACUAUACAAGAUGAUAAAGACCAAUACCGCUUGCUAGGUAUCCAGCACCCUAACAAGUAGCUGCCGCUUUUCCCAGAGGCCCCGAAGCUAAAAUCUAAUCAGAUACAACCGGUAUCCAAAUCAGAGGAAGCUGAAUUUUCCCACUCAGUUGGCUCGACGGUAUGGCCUUUAUAACAACUCAUGCACCGUGUGACACACGGGUAUUGACCUAAGGACUGCAUCUACUAUUCCGUUACGAGUGGACCAAAUUCCCCAGUAGGUACAUGAAUGGAUUACUGCUGAUUAAUUAGCGGGAAGUACAGGAUUGCGUGCACGCAACAGUCUCCAGGUGUACGACAGGAUCUCCAAGGAUCUCUCAAGUCCAACUGAACGCGCUGCAUCCCAGAAUAUGUCCGCUAUACCUUGAGCCUCUGAGAAGGUUUGGCAUCCUGAUUCUCGUUCCAACUCUUACUAAUAGUGGACCUUGUAAAUUUCUCCGUCAGCUCAUGCUGCAGCGGCUGUUUAAUGCAUUGUUGAUUUAUAAUUUGCUUCAUUGUAUAUUUGUCUUGCUUUAAUAAAUCGU